CCCUUAGAUGUUCUGGGCUGCACACGUGCUACACUGGCAGGUUCAGCGAGCUUCAUGCCCUGAUCUGAAAGGAAUGGGAAAUCUUUUCAAAACCUGCCGUGCUUGGGAUAGAUGUUUGCAAUUAUUCAUCUUCAACGAGGAUUGCCUUGUAAGCGCACGUCAUCAGCGUGCAUUGAAUACGACCCUGUAUUCUGUACACACCGCCCGUCGCUCCUACCGAUUGAUGUUUUCGGUGAGUUGACAGGAGGAUUUUUUUGAAACUGGUUCGCCAGUGGAUUUUAGAUCCAAAUGCCAACGAAUCGAUGGCUUUAGAGGAAGGAGAAGUCGUAACA
rnacentral:rRNA from 1 species